AGAAAAGGUGUUUAUUUUAUAUGAAUAAGUUAUUAGUUGUUUUUAUUUUUUGUUGAUAUCAAUAUUUAUGGUACAUGUACUAUUUUCCUUUGCUCAAAAUCACAUGAAAUUUGGCUCUAUAAAAUGGCUCAAUACGAUGAAUGUUGUGCACUUAGAGCUGUUCCAUUACAACAUACAUGGUACAUUGUACCCAAGGAAGGCAAAGUGUAAUUUGUGUAAAUGAGGUUGCCAUCUCUAGAAGGUAUUAUAAAACUUUUCUUACAUUUUCUCAGUACAAAAUAAGAAAAUUUAAAUAUACAUGUAUCUGAUUCAUUUUUUCUUCAAUAACCAUUCAAAUCAUUUAAAAAGAAAAUUUAGGAGGUUGGAGAAAUUUUAUCAUUAUUUAUGAAGUAUGGAAUCUCUAAUUUUGAGGAAAUGAAUAAACUUAUCCUUUCUACUGAAUUGUU
rnacentral:lncRNA from 1 species